rnacentral:rRNA from 1 species
UAAGACAGAGGGUGCAAACGUUGCUCGGAAUCACUGGGCGUAAAGGGCGUGUAGGCGGGAAGGUAAGUCGGGCGUGAAAUCCCUGGGCUCAACCCAGGAACUGCACUCGAAACUACUUUUCUUGAGUGCCGGAGAGGAAAGCGGAAUUCCUGGUGUAGAGGUGAAAUUCGUAGAUAUCAGGAGGAACACCAGUGGCGAAGGCGGCUUUCUGGACGGUAACUGACGCUGAGACGCGAAAGCGUGGGGAGCAAACAGGAUUAGAUACCCUGGUAGUCCACGCCGUAAACGAUGAGCGCUAGGUGUCGUGGGUAUUGACCCCCGCGGUGCCGAAGCUAACGCAUUAAGCGCUCCGCCUGGGAAGUACGGUCGCAAGACUA